AUACAUAUAUUUAUCGUCUAUAAAGUUUUAAAUGCCACGAUAAGUAAUAUCUGUUGCAUUAUCUCCAACUAAUUAGCAACUAGCGAUACUAGCGUACUACGCAUUCCGAAAUGCGUCGCUCUGCCAAUAAAUAAGUACGUACAAUACGUAUAAAUAAGUUAUUUCGUAUUAGCAUGUGUAUAAUAUAGCGUAUAGUAGUAACGUAUAUAGUAUUUGUCUAGUUGUAGCUCUGAAAUCUAGCUCUCAAAUUAGAAACUCAGCCCUAUUUAGGGCUAACGAAUAAAUCGCCGUUUCAUUGAUAGAAAAAAGUAUAAAACUGAAUUUUAUUCGUUACGCUAUAGUUACGCGGAAGAACCUACGAGGUUCGACAAGCCUCAAUGUCAAAACAAUAAGGAAAGACGUCAUCGAACAAUUACGAUUACUAUCGCGAUUAUUACUUGUGUUGUGGUCUCGCAGGCUGAAUUAUCCAGGGGAUCUACGAUAAUCAUAAAAUCAACGUUUAAUUUACUCGUUAUUUUAAUUCUCUUCUCAGCGAAAUGUUCGUAAGUAGCCAUUUACUCGCAGUGGGGCGGUAAUGCGUUUGAUAGAAGCGAAGAGGAAACGUCGUUCGACGCGCGUAACUUCAUUUAGUACGACGUAGAAUGUCUCGUCUUUAUUAGCUUUAUUUACUCGCCAAUUUUCCGAAGCGCUACGUGGUUGUUAGUUCUAUUUUCUAAUAUUUUACUGCAAGUUAAAACCAUCGCUAUUGAAACGCGGCCGUUGCCCGAUAAGUUUAGAGGAGGAGAGGAAACGCGGCUUUAUCGCCACGAAAUCUGCCAACUAUCGCGGUGGAACGAAUUUCUGGCAGCGUGCCCUGAGCAUGGAACAUGCUUCUGAGAUUCAUUCGUUUCAUGACUCGUUUCACACGUCGUCGUGACCACGAGGUUCACAACGGACAAUCACGCAGAUGCAAUGAUCGGCGUUCACCUUCGUAUGGCAAUCGUCUUCUCCCUAUCCAUUCCGAUCUAUCUUUCAUUCUUCCGGCCACAGAUAAUACAUAACAGCCAUCUUACAGAACACAAUACGCAAAUACGGAUAAGCUAUCGUUACGCGCGUCGAUCGUUGGGUGGUGUGUCAUCGUACAAGUGGUCGACCGUUAUCGUGUUCGCGAGGGUGCCUGGAUUUUUCGGCCGGCUCUUUGCGCCGAUCCUCGUCUCGAUCCUCGUCUCGAUCCACGUCCCUGCACAAAAGUCACGCGGUACAGAGGAUGCCGUAAUACGUGAUCGCUUGCCAUACUUUUCUAUUCCUGGCAGAAUAAAGGACGUUUGGACGAUUUCAACGGUCUCUGAUACACAGGAUCAUUGGACGAUAUAUAAUCAAGCAAGCAAUCGAUCUUACGUUGGAACGCGCGUUCGAAACGGUGACCGUUUGCAUCGAUGCAACGUUGGAAUCGUCAAAUUGUCGAAGGCCGUGCACUUCUUAUCGUUUGCUGAUCGUGCAACGCUACAUUGUAAUAUUCUCGCUGUGCGUUGUAUAUAGAGAGUGAUUCAUAAACGAACGUCGAUACUUGAUUGCUGCAGGGUGUGUAAAUUUGCACGCUAAUAUAAGCAAAGUACGUACACUCCGCUUUCGAGUGUACGUACGAUCGAUGAUGGAUAGCGGAAAGGAUCCAUUAUACGUCUACCACCGAUCUAAAUCUUUUAGUCUAAAGUUUCUUUUCUCCCUUCUCACACAUUUAAGAUCUAUUUUGCGUUGAACGCAAAUAGUGAAAGUGAACAAUGUACACGGUGCGCUGCUACGAGUGACUAUUCCGACUAAUAGCGAGCGAGUACGCGAGCGAAUGUCAGGCGUGCAAUAGCGUGUGUCGAGACACGAAGCGGACACCUGGAACAUCUUCUUCGAACAUGCGUAACUCGAAAAGUACGUAGAGCGUAAUGUCGCUUCCUUCCGUCUUUCGUUUUCAUCGUUUCUCGUAAAUGUGGCCCGAUCGAACGAAACCUACUGGUUACGAUCGAAAUCAAUGAAAAACUGCCGUUGACAGAUUUUCCAGUUUUUAUAUGGUGUUUUGUCGCGAUGAGAGAAAUGUAUAGAUCGAUAUAUAACUAACUAAUAAACCAACUAAAAUGUUGCUUUGUCUAGAAAAUACGCAACACGUUCAACAUAUCGAACACGAAGCAUGAUUUUUAUGUAUCAGCUAGUAAGCAUGUUUUUUUCAAGAUACGAAUACACGUAACGAACGAUGCAGCUCGUUACAGAAUUGAAGUUACAAAAAAUAUUUACAACCAUCCAUCGCUGUUUCUGCUCUUUUCAACAAAAUUGACAACUUUGUGAGUAAUUCCAAUGCUUUUAGAGGGCAUCGCUCAAUCUCGUAUUUUCCAAUCGUUAUUAAUUAUCAGAUAUUAAAUGUUAAUAAUGAUAGUAAGCAAAAGAAUAAAAAAUAUAAACAUCGAAUAAAAUACACCGUAAUUUAGAAAUUUCCAUAGCUCGGCACUCUAAACGCAAAGCCGACAAAAUUUGUAACGCGUAAUGGAUCGAAUGUAAACACGUUACCACCGUGGAGGUGGAUGCUAGGAAAUGUUGUCGAUGCUAGAAAAUUUUCUCGGGCAAACCGACCCUGUAAACGUGCAUGCGCACACGCACGAUCCCGAGCAGAUGGAGCCAAGUCAGCGGGAAAGUAUAACGAGAUUCCGGGAAAUCCACCCUUCCUUCUGUCACGUCCCUAUCGUCCAUUUCGCGUGUCGGUUUACGCUCGGUGUAGGAGGAAAGCGAGCGAGUCGACGAUGCGAGAAGAAACGAGACGGCGCGGAAUGCCAAUUUGCCGUCAGACCGGCCGCCUCGCCGGUUAUAAUCCAACGAUGAAACUUUGUAACGCGAAAGAGACGCGAUCGUUCACUCAUUGGUAGACGGUUAUCCGAAGGAAAAUGAAAUUAUCGCGUCGAUACCUGAAAUCGAUCUGUGAAAUAGGAACUUUUAUUUCUGCGUCUCUACGAAGAUGAUCAGAAAGGUCCGAAGAGGCUCUUCUUUGAUACUAAGAGGAAAGGAUUGCUGGAGACUGUGAUUACCAAUGAUUUCGCCAGUAAUCGAGUAGCAAUUUUUUAAUUUUUUAGCACUGCGAAUAACUACUUAUAUUAUGACUUUCGAAGAAUGGAAAAGAUUAGUUACCGGCUAAAAAACUUGCCACGACCGCGAGGCUCGUUUGUCUACCACUGUCACGCCCUUUCUCUCCUUCCAAAAGUUGAACAAAGUUCCGUGAAUGGAAGCGAUUCGAUGCGCGCAACCGUCAUGUAGAAGCCACAAGGAUCACAAGUCAGGAUCUCAGCCAGCUGAGAAGCUAUUGGCAAAAACGUUUCGAAAGUAGAGAAAGAGAGACACUAUUUUACGCGAGUAAACUUUUGGCUGAAUAAUUUUCCGCUCUUGUGACAAGUUUUAUCGACACACCAUGAUCUAGUUUUUCCUCUUGGUCAAAAAUCACCAUCGUUGUGCGUAGAAGCAAAGAUUGUGAGUAUGAUCUAAAAACUACCGGAUCUACGCAGCUUGACCCUUACUCUUCUCUUCCAUCGUCUCCUCUUUAUAAACAAGGAUCGAGCGAGCUUAAACGCCCCGUGUAUAACGCGCAUAUCCAAAAAAUGUCCCUUAUUACCUAUAACUCGUUUAAGACUGAACGUCACACAUGUUAUUGGGUUUUGGUUUCAGUUGGAUUUUUCAAUAAAAAAAGUGCCUGCGAUAGCACUCUAUACUUUUAUUAAUCCAGCAAGGACCUCGCCAUUAACGCCGAGUAGAAAUUACAGAUAUUGCGCUUUUUAUAUUUCCUUAUAAUACUCUUUCGUUCCUCCUUGCACGCACAUUGCCCAGUUAAUUUGUGUUAAAAGGGGCAUUUACAAGAAAGAAAUUGUCACAUUAGGUUAAUUUUAAAGGCAUAUGAAUAAAUAAAUAGAAAGAGAUACA